rnacentral:rRNA from 1 species
UCUCCGUCACCUUCGCCUCCGCCGGCUCCUGCUGCUGCUCUACGUCCACAUACGCGCAGUCGGAGUGGCAUUUUUCAGCCUAAGCAACGUCACGAUGGAACAGUUGCUUGGUUAGCGGCGUGCAUGUCUGCUGCUCUCGCAGAUCCAUCCUCUGAGCCACGCACGUAUCAAGCUGCUAUGCGCAUUCCUCAUUGGAGAGAGGCCAUGGAGCAGGAGUAUCAAGCGCUUCUUCGCAAUCAGACAUGGACUCUUGUUCCUCCACAAUCACGGGUAAAUGUCAUUGAUUCCAAAUGGGUUUUCAAAGUGAAGAGGCAUUCUGAUGGGUCCAUUGAGCGCUAUAAGGCUCGUCUGGUUGCUCGUGGUUUUCGACAGCGUUUUGGCCUUAACUAUGAAGACACCUUCAGUCCAGUGGUCAAG